AAUGCCCCUAGCGCUGCAGAUGUGGUUGCUGUGUCUCAUGUGUGUUAGUAGGUGGCAAAAAAGGAAAGAGACGUGUCUAUCUGCAGGGUUCUGACCUGUUCAACUCUGAAUGAUUAAUAGCCUAACACU